CCAGCAUGCCCGCUGGCUCGUGAGCUGGCCCUGGAAACUAGCGGCUGGCGCAAGUGGGCGUUCGGCGGCACUGCUGGCUGCCAGCUGCCAGCCCCACACCCCACAGGCCCCUGCCUGGCCAGCCCCGGUGCACUCCUGGGAUGUCCCCUGCAGGCCCAAGUGUCUCAGGCCCAGCCGCUGCCUCGGGGCUGUGUGCCGCUGGCAGGACACACAGCCUCCCGAGCUCAAAAAGCGGCUCUGCCCUUUCUUCUUAGGUUCAGGCUAAGGCCGGCUGUGCCGGAGGGGCACAACACCUGAGUGGAGAUGAGCAGCCCAGGGGCGCCCUGCUGGCCCGCACCCUGCCCAGACCACAUGAAGGCGAAGAGGUUGCUGAAAUAUGCAUUCCAGGAGAGCAGGGAUAUUUGUUUUGUUCCCCGAUGUAUCCCCUGGAUCUAGCACAGGACUGGCAGGAACCCCAGAUUCUUCUCCAUGGUCGGAAUCAUUGCAAAAUAACUGACGGAGUUUCACCAUGUUGGCCAGGAUGGUCUCUGUCUCUUGACCUCGUGAUCCGCCCGCCUUGGACUUCCAGAGUGCUGGGAUUACAGGCAUGAGCCACCACGCCCAGCCUUGUUUUUGUAUAUUUUGUAGAGACAGGUCUUACUAUGUUGCCCAGGUUUGUCUUGGAGCUCCACUCCAAGGUGGAGCUCAAGCGAUCCACCUGCCUCAGCCUCCCAAAGUGCUGGGAUUACAGAUGUGAGCCACCAUGCCCAGCCUUCAUGGGUUUCCCUAGGAUCACCAGCUGUCAUGGACUGAUUUGUGUCUCUCCAAAUUCAUAUGUUGAAUACUUAACCUGCCAUGCGAUUGUGAUUGGAGAUAAUUCCUUUAGGGAAGCAAUGAAGGUUAAAUGAGGUCAUAGGUGGGAGCUUAAUCCAAUGGGACUGGGGUCCCUACAAGAAGAGGAAGACACCAGAGCUCUCUGUCUCCACACACAGAGAAAAGAGGCUGUAUGAGGACACAAGAGAAGGUAAUAGCUGUCUACAAACCAAGAAGAGAAGCCUCUCCAGAAAAUGAACCCUGCUGGAACUUGGUCUUGGACUUUCCAGCCUCCAGAACUGGGAGAAAAUAAAGUUCAAAAUAAAGUUCUGUUGUGUAA
rnacentral:lncRNA from 1 species